CUGAAUAACUGACCAAAUUGAUUCGGUCUUGCACCCGCAAUGUAUCUUUCAAGUGUCUGCCUGAUCAACUUUCUAUGGAAGGUUAUGCGCCCACCAUGGUUGUAACGGGUAACGGACAAUUAAGGUUCGACUCCCGAGAGGGAGCCUGACUAACAGCUACCACUUCCAAAGAAGGAAGGAAGCGCGCAAAUUACCCAUUCUCUGCACGAGGAGGUAGUGACUAAAAAUAACGAGACGGGUCUCUUCUGACAGCCGUCCUCGGAAUGAGAACAACAUAAAUCCUUUAACUAGGACCUAGCGGAGGGCAGGUCUGGCGCCUGCAGCCGCGGUAAUUCCAGCUCCGCCCGUGUAUAUCUAUGCUGCUGGCGUUAAAUAG
rnacentral:rRNA from 1 species